ensembl:lncRNA
CAGAAAGAGACAGGAUAUGCGCUCAUCCUGCCUGGCCAAUCAUGUAACGCCAGCUACUCCUGUAACUGAGACAAAGAACUGCCUGUAUAUAAGCCGCCAUACUCCUUUGUUCGUGGCUCUUGUCGGAUUCCCUUGUGUGGGAUGAGACUUGAGCCCUAGCGCACUAGAGAUAAACUCCCUUCUUGUUUCUGCAUUACUGUGGUGGACUUGCUCUCUUGGUGGGUUCGGAGAUACAGGCUCGGAGCAUAACAUUUGGGGGCUCAUCCGGGAUCUCCGUCCCGCCGGGGAGGACAAUUCUCCUGGUAGAAGGGAGUAACCUCGUUAGGAGAUAAGAGCUCUGAGCACCGGUGCUAACGUUGCAGAAGCCCAGAUUAAGUCUGAGGCCUAGUAUCUUACUGGGGAGGCAUCUGGCUGUAAAGUGCAGAGGCAAGUCAGCGUAAGGCCGGGGCCUAGUUUCGUGCUGGGGAGGCGGCUGGCUCUGUGAACAUCCUGCAGGUUGACGGUAUCGGGCCUUGGGUGCAUUGCAACCACGUACGCCCAGCUGCUUCAGCAGAGCAAGAAGACGCUAAAAAAAAAUGGGAAGCAUCUCUGCACCCGUCCAACCCCUUGAGGCUAAAGCUUCGAAGGCGCCAACAGGACCAGGACAACUCGACUGGGCCCUCUUGUGGAUGACCCAGUUACUCUGCUCCGGAGUUGCCAGCGUGAACCCACAUCAACCCGUCAAAAUCACCUGGAAGCUGCAAAAUGGACUAACACAAGAGGUGCUAAACUCCACUACCGCAAUACAUCCACCAAACACAUGGUGGCCAGACUUAUACUUUGACC